GAAAAACAAGGAAAAAGACGCUAAGAGAAUAGAGGAAGAAUAUGGAGGAACAGACACAAGAAGCGUCAAUGAACAACAGAAGAAACACUGGACUUUAGGUUGUUGAGGAGGCAUUGAAGCAAAUUUGGCAAAAAAUUGACCAAGAUAUCAGAACAUGAAGAGAGUGAAAUCAAUGAAAAAACAAUAUUAAGCUACGUGGCCUCAAAUGGAACGAUUGACUUGCUAGAACUGAUGCUUCAAGUGCCCGGUUUGGAUCCAAAUAAGCCGGACAAUGAGGGCAACACCCCGUUGCAUUUCGCUGCCCAAGCUGGGCAAGUGGAAUGUUUAAACUGCCUGGCAAGCCGAUGUCGAGGUGUGGAAAUUGACGCCCGAAACAAUUUAGGAUUCACCCCUCUGAUGAAGGCGGCUCUACAAGGAAGGAAUAAGUGUGCCAAAUUACUGUUAUUCGCUGGUAGGUACCGCUCGCUUUAACUCUAAUUAACCAGU